rnacentral:lncRNA from 1 species
AUUUGUUGUAGCAAUAAGACUAUACAAUUGUGAGAGAAACUGAAGAAGUGGAAUUCCAAAAGGCACUUUGAAAACUGACAUCACAAGGCACCAAACUUCCCCGAAAGCUGAGGAAAAAUAAGCACCUUCAAGAAGAGAAAAGACAAAAGCACUGACCUUGUGGCAAAGCACAGGAGGAAGGGAAAGCUACUAUGCAAGUAAGCAAGAAGGAUCCAGGAAGAGAGAGAGGAAUGUAAGAGAAGACAGUCACUAUGUUGAAGAGAAGUUUAGAGGACUGCCCAGAGUAAAGAAAUCCCCUUCCAAGUGUUUCUCCUGCAGCCUUGGCAAAAAUAUACACAUCAGGGAUACAGACUUCUUCAAUGACUUGUUUACUUGGAAGAAUGUUUAAGCCAAGCACAGUGGUACACACCUCUAAUCCCAGCACUUGGGAAGCUGAGACAGUAGGAUCACUGCGAUUUUGAGGCCAGCCUGGGCUACAUAGUGAUUUCAAGGCCAGCCUGUACUACAUUGUGAAACCUGUUUUAAAAAAGAAUGUUUAGUUUCUAAGUGUUUGGAAAUUUUCCUGUUAUCUUUCUAUUAUUGAUUUGUAGUUUAAUUCCAGUGUGGUCAGAGAACAUAUUCCAUAUGAUUUCAAUUUGUUCAGGUUUGUUUUAUGGUCUAUCAUUUUUCUUGAUAUCCAUCUAUCUUGGUGUAUCAAAUUCCAUGGGCACUUGAAAAGAAUAAGUAGUGUGUUGUCAGAGUGUUUAUAAAUGUUGAUUAGACCUUGUUGUUUGACAGCAUUGUUAGUUCUUCAUAUCUUUGCUGAUUUCCUACCUCCUUGUUGUAAACACUAUUGAGAGAAAAGUAUAGUGUUCUCAAAUUUGAUUGUGGACUUGCCUAUAUCUCGUUCCAAUUCUUUUUUUCUCCCCAUCAUAUAUGUUGCAGCUCUUUUUUGG